rnacentral:rRNA from 1 species
CAAGUCGAGCGGACGUUUUAUUGGUGCUUGCACCGAUUUAACGUUAGCGGCGGACGGGUGAGUAACACGUGGGCAACCUGCCCUGUAGAUUGGGAUAACUCCGGGAAACCGGGGCUAAUACCGAAUAAUACUUUUUAACUCAUGUUAGAAAGUUGAAAGAUGGUUCUGCUAUCACUACAGGAUGGGCCCGCGGCGCAUUAGCUAGUUGGUGAGGUAACGGCUCACCAAGGCGACGAUGCGUAGCCGACCUGAGAGGGUGAUCGGCCACACUGGGACUGAGACACGGCCCAGACUCCUACGGGAGGCAGCAGUAGGGAAUCUUCCACAAUGGGCGAAAGCCUGAUGGAGCAACGCCGCGUGAGUGAAGAAGGAUUUCGGUUCGUAAAACUCUGUUGUAAGGGAAGAACAAGUACAGUAGUAACUGGCUGUACCUUGACGGUACCUUAUUAGAAAGCCACGGCUAACUACGUGCCAGCAGCCGCGGUAAUACGUAGGUGGCAAGCGUUGUCCGGAAUUAUUGGGCGUAAAGCGCGCGCAGGCGGUCCUUUAAGUCUGAUGUGAAAGCCCACGGCUCAACCGUGGAGGGUCAUUGGAAACUGGGGGACUUGAGUGCAGAAGAGGAAAGUGGAAUUCCAAGUGUAGCGGUGAAAUGCGUAGAGAUUUGGAGGAACACCAGUGGCGAAGGCGACUUUCUGGUCUGUAACUGACGCUGAGGCGCGAAAGCGGGGGGAGCAAACAGGAUUAGAUACCCUGGUAGUCCACGCCGUAAACGAUGAGUGCUAAGUGUUAGGGGGUUUCCGCCCCUUAGUGCUGCAGCUAACGCAUUAAGCACUCCGCCUGGGGA